UUAGUACUCCUCCCGUCCCAAAAUUAUUGUCUUAGAUUUGUCUACAUACGGAUGUAUGUAAUACUAAGACUUGAUACAUCUGUAUCUAGACAAAUUUAAGACAAGAAUUCUAGAGCGGAGGGAGUACAAU
rfam:Triticum aestivum genome assembly, contig: Triticum_aestivum_CS42_TGACv1_scaffold_112656_2AS